rnacentral:lncRNA from 10 species
GACCGCGGCGAGCGGGCACCGGCUCCCCAUUCCGAUUAGGCAAUUAGCUGAUUGCUGCCCGCCCGCAGCCCGAGCGAGCGGUGCGCGGGGAUCUCGCUGCCUGCCCACCUCUCCUGCAAACAGAGGCACGUUCUCCGACUUUGAUAGCUCCCUGGGUUCCUGUGAAAAACAACCACAGCGUUUCCAGAGUGUGUUUCUCAAAUACCAGCGUCAGGGGAUCGCAGAAUUACAGCAACAAAUGUUACGAGGUUAUUUUUAUAAAAAAUGUCCUAGCAGAGGAGGAUGGAAACAGCAGAAUUCGGAUAUAGCGUCCUUUGUGGUUGCCUGUGUUUUAGCUCUGCAUCUGCUCAGAUCACCUGCAACAUAACUGAAGCAUCAGCCUCUUAGGCUGUUCCCUGGACUAGGCACAAGCAAAGCUGUGAGGUAGGCUAAGAAUGUGUUCACAUCCUCGUCUCUCCAUCUCCUCUUUUCGUGUCUUCCAGGCUCUUUAGUUAUACCAUGUUCACAGUGCUCUCCUGUCAUCCCUCACCCAUCAUGACCUUCACUGCAAAGAACACUUAGGCAGGACCCUCUUCCCAGGUCUUUGGUUUUGCCUCAUCCUCUCCCAAUAACUGGCAACAUUUGCCCAUUGUGUCUACUAUCCUUAACGUGGGAAUUGAUGAACACCUCAAUACUAAGAUGGAAAUGACUAUGAAUGUGUUCUAUCUCACAUCAAUUAUUCACAUUUUGACAACGG